UACGUAGGGGGCUAGCGUUGUCCGGAUUUAUUGGGCGUAAAGAGCGUGUAGGCGGCCAGGUAGGUCUGCUGUGAAAACUCGAGGCUCAACCUCGAGACGUCGGCGGAAACCAUCUGGCUAGAGUCCGGAAGAGGAGUGUGGAAUUCCCGGUGUAGCGGUGAAAUGCGCAGAUAUCGGGAGGAACACCUGUGGCGAAGGCGGCCCCCUGGUUGGAUACUGACGCUGAUACGCGAAAGCGUGGGGAGCAAACAGG
rnacentral:rRNA from 1 species